rnacentral:rRNA from 1 species
CAGUGGUCGUACUGCCAAAGAUUUAUCGCCGAAGGAUGAGCCUAUAUCCCAUCAGGUAGUUGGUAGGGUAACGGCUUACCAAGCCUACGACGGGUAGCUGGUCUGAGAGGAUGAUCAGCCACAUUGGAACUGAGACACGGUCCAGACUCCUACGGGAGGCAGCAGUGAGGAAUAUUGCGCAAUGGGCGAAAGCCUGACGCACCAACGCCGCGUGGAUGAUGAAGUUCUUCGGAAUGUAAAGUCCUUUUGUAGAGGAAGAAUAUCCNGGUUUACCGGGACUGACGGUACUCUNCGAAUAAGCCACGGCUAACUCUGUGCCAGCAGCCGCGGUAAUC